rnacentral:rRNA from 1 species
UGAGGAACAUGACCUUCGGCGGGGGAUAGCCGGCCCAACGGCCGGGUAAUACCGCGUACGACCACAUGGGGACAUCCCUGAGUGAUGAAAGCAGCAAUGCGCCGAUGGAGUGCCUCGCGGCCUAUCAGCUAGUUGGUGAGGUAACGGCUCACCAAGGCGACGACGGGUAGCUGGUCUGAGAGGAUGGCCAGCCACAUUGGGACUGAGACACGGCCCAGAUCCCGUACGGGG